rnacentral:rRNA from 1 species
AGCGAACGCUGGCGGCAGGCUUAACACAUGCAAGUCGAACGGGCGUAGCAAUACGUCAGUGGCAGACGGGUGAGUAACGCGUGGGAACGUACCUUUUGGUUCGGAACAACCCAGGGAAACUUGGGCUAAUACCGGAUAAGCCCUUACGGGGAAAGAUUUAUCGCCGAAAGAUCGGCCCGCGUCUGAUUAGCUAGUUGGUGAGGUAACGGCUCACCAAGGCGACGAUCAGUAGCUGGUCUGAGAGGAUGAUCAGCCACAUUGGGACUGAGACACGGCCCAAACUCCUACGGGAGGCAGCAGUGGGGAAUAUUGGACAAUGGGCGCAAGCCUGAUCCAGCCAUGCCGCGUGAGUGAUGAAGGCCCUAGGGUUGUAAAGCUCUUUUGUGCGGGAAG